NNNNGGUGUGGUGGCGCGUGUCUGUAGUCCCAGCUACUUGGGAGGCUGAGGCUGGAGGAUCGCUUGAGUCUAGGAGUUCUGGGCUGUAGUGUGCUCUGUGGGUGUCCACACUAAGUUUGGCAUCAAUAUGGUGACCCCCUGGGAGCAGGGGCCCACCAGGUUGCCUAAGGAGAGGUGAACCAGCCUAGGUUGGAAACGGAGCAGGUCAAAACUCCCGUGCUGAUCAGUAGUGGGAUCGUGCCUGUGAAUAGCCACUGCACUCCAGCCUGGGCAACAUAGCAAGACCCUGUCUCU
rnacentral:SRP_RNA from 1 species